rnacentral:tRNA from 1 species
GGGGAGAUGGUUGAGUGGUUCAAGGCAUAUCAUUGGAACUGCUAUGCAGGAUUUUGUUUAUCGAGGGUUUGAAUACCUCUCUUUUCG